CGACCCCAGGUCGGGCGGGACCACCCGCUGAGUUUAAGC
rnacentral:misc_RNA from 1 species